GUGUUAAGUGGGAAAGGAUGUAGAGUUGCACAGACAACCAGGAUGUUGGCUUAGAAGCAGCCACCAUUGAAAGAGUGCGUAAUAGCUCACUGGUCGAGUGACUCUGCGCCGAAAAUGUAACGGGGCUAAACACACCACCGAAGCUAUGGCUUGAUACUAUGUAUCAGGGGUAGGGGAGCGUUGUAUAAGGGUUGAAGGUGUACCGUAAGGAGCGCUGGACAUUAUACAAGUGAGAAUGCCGGUAUGAGUAACGAAAAGAUCAGUGAGAAUCUGAUCCGCCGAAAGCCUAAGGGUUCCUGAGG
rnacentral:rRNA from 1 species